GCCUGACUGGCUCAGUUGGGGGAAUAUGGGACUCCUGAUCUCAGGGUUGUGGGUUUAAACCCUACGUUGGGUG
rnacentral:tRNA from 1 species